AGUGGGGAAUCUUGCGCAAUGGGCGAAAGCCUGACGCAGCCAUGCCGCGUGGAUGAUGAAGGUCUUAGGAUUGUAAAAUCCUUUCACCGGGGACGAUAAUGACGGUACCCGGAGAAGAAGCCCCGGCUAACUUCGUGCCAGCAGCCGCGGUAAUACGAAGGGGGCUAGCGUUGCUCGGAAUUACUGGGCGUAAAGGGCGCGUAGGCGGACAGUUAAGUUGGGGGUGAAAGCCCGGGGCUCAACCUCGGAAUUGCCUUCAAUACUGGCUGUCUUGAGUACGGGAGAGGUGAGUGGAACUCCGAGUGUAGAGGUGAAAUUCGUAGAUAUUCGGAAGAACACCAGUGGCGAAGGCGACUCACUGGCCCGUUACUGACGCUGAGGCGCGAAAGCGUGGGGAGCAAACAGGAUUAGAUACCCUGGUAGUCCACGCCGUAAACGAUGAGUGCUAGUUGUCGGCAUGCAUGCAUGUCGGUGACGCAGCUAACGCAUUAAGCACUCCGCCUGGGGAGUACGGUCGCAAGAUUA
rnacentral:rRNA from 1 species